rnacentral:lncRNA from 1 species
AAUCAUUCUAAUAAGCACGUGUACUCACAUCAUGCAACAUUACAUUAUUAUCAUCACAUUGUUUUAUAUUAUCUUUAGCCAUUAUCAUUAUUCUUUACAUCACAUUUAUUCUUUGUUGUCCCACACUAACUCUAGUGUCCACUUUACCAUUUCCAAAUGCCAUAUUAUGUGGAUAUUUUGUCAUCCAUUGGUAGUUAUCAUUUAGCAUUUUAUGCAUUCAUUAACAUUUACCACAUGCAUUUUCGGUUAGAAUAAAUCUCAUACUUUCAUUUGACAUCUGUUUAACAUUUCUAUAAUAUGCUCAUGUAAAUUAACAUCAACUCAUGCAUUCAUUUGACAUCUAUCUUUAUCAUGCAUUCUUAAAUAGCAUACUUUAAUCUUUAUCAUGCAUUCUUACAUAGCAUACUUUAAUCUUUAUCAUUCAUUCUUAAAUAGCAUACUUUAUCAUACAUCAAUAGUAAACACACUACACUUUAGCAUGGAAAGCGACCUAAUCGCUUCGGUGAGCACGACCCACCUCAAAACGCUUUCCGAUUGCUUGUCGACACUUGCAAUCGGCCUCCCGCGGCAACCGUAACCCGGUUUGGCCCGAACUCUUGUGCGACCACCCGAACGGCCACCAAUUCGCGAUCCGUCUGUUCGGGAGCCUAUUCCCCGACACCACGAUGCUCCCGAUCCAUUUUUAUGAUUUUUGGAGGCUUAUCCCGCGUGCUGCGGCUAUCUGUACCAAAAUAGAUUGUUUCGUCAAUAACUUUGCGUACACUCGUCGGAUUGUCGAACCGAGCACGCCAACGCGUUCGUUAUACCCCCAAUUAGGUUUAUAGAGGGUCAAUUGAGAUCAAACUCAACUAUUUACAAAAAUCCUCUUUUGGAGCCCUAAUAUGCAACUAUUGCAAAAUCUACCAUUUCAUCUCAUGAUCCAAGCAUUUAUCAUCUAUUUGACAUGCUAGGAGUACACAAAAUCCAAUUCUAGAACAUAUAAACCAAGUUCUAGAAGUCUACCAUUAGAGAGCAUAAGGCUUACCUCUCUAAGCUUGCUCCUAUGGCUCAAGGAAGGAGAUGAAGAUGAAGCUCCAUCUUCUUGGCCUCUUCUCCUUCAUCUUCUUCUUUUUCUUCUCUUUCUUUCUCUUCUUCUCCUUCUUUUCUUUCUAGAGAGAGAGAGGGAGAGGUUUUGGUGUGGGAGAGUGAGAGAAAUGAGAGAAAGAGAGAAAGGGUCCUUUCUAUACACUCUCAUAAGUGCCAUUUUGCACUUAAGCCCCUCCACAAUGCUUCCCUCGCAACAGCCCAAACUGGACAUUUUCGGGCUUCGGGGACCGGUCCUUGCGAUGAGAGACCGGUCCUUGGCUGAGAGACCGGUCCCCGAAGGUCCAGAAAUCAGCCUUCACGGACUUAGCCAAAUUUUCAGCUUUUUCACCGUUUUAGCUCCGUUUUCGCUCGUUUUUGCUUGUUUGACCUCUGAUUCAUUUCAAAUCGAACCGAGACUCUCCAAACAUGUUUUCAAGCAUGUUUCAUCAUCUUUUCAUCCACGCUAAUGCCGGAUUUAACUCACGGUCCAACAUAGCCUUUCGGCUCCAUUUUCGCGCCCUAUGCGCACCGAACCACCCGAAUGCUCCCGAACUUCGCCGGGACGAUUCCAAUGGCUUUCUAAGCUAACUUACAUCGUAACUUCGUGAAUUUAGAAGUUCGGUAUAUUACAACAUCUAUCAUCUAUAACAAAAGUAAAUAAAGCGUAACUAAACAAUAAAGGUAAAACAUAGAGUUAUACAAAUAAUCCUCUCCAAAAAGGGUACAAAAAGGGUGAUCUCUAAACAUGGGUACAACUCUCAACCUCUCCAAAAGAAAACUACGCGAGGUAGACCACCUAUCGACGCGUCUCUCAAAGCAAGCUAGCUCGAGGCAAUUCCCUUUCCGCGGUCCCUAGCCUCUCCCGGCGUGGAAAGUUCUGAAAUAAAAAUAUAAAAUAGAAGGCGCGAGAACUAUAAUUUAUAGUUCCGAAUGGGCAAUUACUGACCUCAGCUCAAUGCACGACUAGGCCCCAAAAGAAAAGGGUAAGUCCAAAAAGCAACAAUAAUAAUAAAUAGAUUGCAUUUAUGAAAGUAUAAAUAAAAUGCUAAGUUAUUAUGUCGCAAAUAAACAUGAUGUCAAUGUGUUAUACAUUUACUUUAUCAAAAUGAAGUAUGUUCAAGCAUGACUAAUAUGUCCCAACAGAACGAGUAAGUAGGUAUCAUGAUCCAAUAUAUCAAUAUAUGAUGAAUAUGCUCUAUCAUGGCAGCCAAGUAUACUAUGAUGCAACAAAUAAGACUAUCAUGUAUACUACAUGUCCCAACACUAUGCUAUAAGUAUGUCAAAGUAAUCAAACUACUAAGCCUAUCUAGUAGUGAUUGUCAUUUUCCGAUUCAAUGUCAUUGUUUAAUCAUGUUCUAGGACCUACAUAAAUGUAGUCCAGCUUGUGCCACCUAAGUGUCGGUGGUAGCUCCAGCAUUUCCACUCUAGGAAUGAGUCUAUCUCUCCUGACCCCGUAGGUUUCUCGAUACCGCACGAGCCAGCAUAAGUCGCGUAGGCCAACUCCGGAGCGCCGGCUUGUAGGGAGCGACCCUCACAAGCGUGUGCGAAUGAGCACAAAUGGCAAGCAAGCGUAAUCAAUGUCUCAAGGUGAUAUUCCAACACUCACUAUGCUUAGUGCCUCUUUAUGACACUUAAGCUUGUUAUAAGUUAAACACAUUUUAUAUUCUACAUUCCAUUCAUGACAUUAGUACUAGGUUCUCAUUUAACCCGAGCUCAAUGCCUCUUUAUGACAUUAGCCCAAUCAUUCUCAAGUAGUACAAGUCCUCAAGCCUUUUAAGGCUUACUAAAGUCCCUUAUGUCUCAAUUAGGUAUAGGUUUAAAUGCAUGAAGCAAUGCUCAAUUUCAUUGUGAGAAACAUGGUCCCGAGCCCAACAUAGGAAUGCCCAAUGCUAGUGCAAGCUUCACAUGCAACUCUCUCUCUCUACUAUAUAGAGGUCCGAAAAUUCAUUAUACAUGACAUAGGGAUGUUAAGCAUUCUAAAAUUCACAAUAAAUAUAAUUAACAUGAAAAUGCAUGAAUUUUCACUUUACGAAACAUAAAUCACCAAAUAUGAGAAUUUCUCAUAUUGUAUGUAACAUACCACAUCCCUCGUAAAUCGUACCGAGUUCCGUCGAAAUGAGCGGAACGCGGAGUGGAACGAGUGGGUAUAGGCCCUAAGUGCAUUGGAGCCUAUUUAUGGUGCAUAGGGACCCGAGAGAGUGAGAUUUCAAAAUCUGGCUAAGUCCUAGAUUUUGUGCUCUCGAGGACCGGUCCCUGAAGGAGAGACCGGUCCCCGUACGCGUAGCCUGCCAGGAUCCUGAAGCAUCCGGUCCAUGGCAGUGAGACCGGUCCUCGGGAGACCGGUCCAUGAGGGAAAGACCGGUCCCUCAUUGCGCAGCAGCUGAAAAAGCCAGAAAAUCGGCUAAGUCCUGAAAACCCAACGUUUGGGAACCUAUCCAUGGUCAGGGAGACCGGUCCCCGAUUGCGAAAAUUGCCCAAUCUGGGCAGUGCACUGUGAAACAAGUGGAGGGGCUUAAGUGCAAUUGUUACAACACUUUAUAUUGCCAUCCCCUUCACUCCCACAGCCAUUUUUCUCCUCCCCUCUCAUUUUCUCUCUUUCUCAUUCUAGAACCCUAGCUCUAGGGCUUGGAGAAGAAGAAGAAGAAGAAGCAAGGAGAAGGUGGAUUUGGAGGCUUUGGUGGGUUCUACAAACUCUCCUACAAGAAGGACUUGGAGGAGCUUGGGCUAAGGUGAGUUUUUGAUGAAAAUGGGUCUAGGAUUUGGUUUUGAUCCCUAAGAUUUGGAGUUUUGAGUUGUUUUUAGCCUUGGAGACCUUUUAGAGGCCAUGAACUUCAUAGAACCCAUGAGAGCUCAAGUGCUCUCAUGGUGGAUAGUUAGGGUUCACCAUAGAAGCCCUAGGGUUGGUUCCAAAGGUCUAGAAACCUUACUAGGAUGCUUUCUAGGUGAUUCUAAGCUACUAUUUGCUUAGGGUUGAGAUCAAUCUAGGAGAAGUGCCAAAAUGGCAUUGUUAGGGCUUGAAAAUUGGGGUUUUUGCCCUAGGAUUUUUCGGGGACAAAUUGACCUCGUAGAAACCUAAUUGGGGGUCAAAUAUACACAUUAGACAACUCUGUUCAACGUUACGAAGAUGUUCAAGUAUAGUUCAUGUAUAAACAGCCUAAUAGGGCACUAAUUUGAUUAUAGGACGCGGAGCAGGCGUUCGUAGCGAUCGGGAGUCUUCAUAUUCCUCUCCUGCACGACCAUUAAAGGUGGGGGGUGCACGCCAGAAUCGUUGGAUUCCCUUCUAUGUCUAUUUCUCUAUUCUUGAACGUAUGGUUGUUUAUUCCGUCAUGCAUGUUAGGGUUAACCCACAUAUGAACUUUGGUUGUUUUCAUUAUGUUUAUUUCAAGGGUAUUUGAAAAUAGAGAGAAAUGGAACCAUGAUGGACAUGUGUUAUUGAACCCUAGGAAUUGCAUGAUAGUGGGACAUGGACUUAGCAUAAGUAAACAAAUGGUGACAAUGACAAUAGAGAGAUAGAUUGGCUUGAACAAGUGGAUGUUAAACCUAGAUUUCACCAUAGUGGCAUUAUGACGAGAUCGACUAGAAAAUGAUAUGAAAACAUAGGUAGAAAACCUAUCACAAAAGUGGCAACGUGACAUGUGGCUUAAUAUCCUCAACUUGGGGAUUUGAUCGACACUCAUAAUAAGUCUUGGCUUGAGGGAGGUCGCUCCUCCUCAAGCGGUGUGUUUCCGGAAAUCGUCACCACAGGGAGCGCGGUGUGUGAAGACGGUCCCUCGGGUUGGUAGUGCUUGGAGCCUCCCCGGUAAAGAAAUGGAUUUUGGGUUAUGAGUUAUUGGAGUUAACAAGGUUAACCGGUAAGAUUGGGUAUGAGCCAGAGCCUAUUCAUAAUUUGAGCAUGCAUGCAUUUUCAUUAUUGCAUUGAGUAUAUGUAUCCACUGAUAUUCUUCUGCAGGCAUAAUAUUAGAUGCAUUAGUACUGGUUGCUUUUCUGUCCUUGAAAUACUUAUGCCUGGAUAGACCUAGUGGGUAAGUCGGCGAGGUCGGAUGCCGAACCCAUUGGGAAAUUCGUUGUAGUUCUCACACCACCAACCCUACAGGUCCUAGCACGAGCGUGGCGGCGGAGGACCGAGGCAAGGGUAUAGCGCCGUAGAUAGCGGCCACCGGGACUUUUUAUAUUUUGUAGUCAUUCCCCUUUUUGGGUAUACAUGUAUCAACUUCUUUUGUUGAAUUAGAAUUGCAAAAUUGUAAACAAUCAUGUAUUUGGCGGAUGACUAAAUGUAAAAAAGAUAUGAUGGGUGAAUGGAAAUGUAAUAGUUUUAUUUACUUGUAUUUGGUUUAAAUUUAAUCAAAUAUCAUGUAUGCUGUAUAAUUAGCUUAGAGCUUUCGCUUCCGUUGUUGCUUGCCCUCGUGCAAGCCUUAUAUUAUAUAUGCAAAUCCCUUAUUGAUUGCUUAUUUAUACAUGUUGUUAGAGCCUUGGGCGGAUAGAGGAGGCUCUGUCCGUUCGGCGUCUGUUCGUUCGGCGUCUGUUGACGCAACCCGAACCCGACCAAAUUGGCGGGGAUUGGGGCGUGACAGAUAUAAUGGUAUCAGAGCGAAGUGGAAAGCAAAAGUCUAGAAAUGACCUAGAAACCAUAGGUUGGAGACCAUAGGGACUUAGAAAAACGUUUAACGAGGACUUGGUUUGUGCGAAAGCGAGUGAUUGGGUUAAUAGUAACACUUCUCUAGAAGGAGGUAGAGAUGGACUAGAAGGCUUAAUUGUUGUCUACUUAAGGGACUUUGUGGGGCGGCCGACCACAUGACACCAAGAGUGGAAACGAUUAUGCAUGUUGCUUUCGCUUAAUUGGGUAGUUAUUUGGAACGUGUAAGAGUCACGUGUUUCGAGUACUAAUGUGUGUGUGCAUUGCGUUUCAGGACGCGAUGGCACCACCAAGGAGAGUUACGAGGUCCACACCGGCGGAGCCUCGAGAGUAGCCCAGGCAGUCGGGGUCGGACGAAGUGCACGAGUUGCAAGCCCAGGUAGCGGCUCUGGCCGGGGCUAUGCGACAACAAGGGGAGCAGAUUGGACAGCUCCAUAAGAUGAUGGAGCAACAGGCAGCGGCGGCAUCAGUGCCGAGGGAUCUACCCCCACUGGCUGCUCCUGUAGCACCACCUCCUGCGGCGGCAGCAGCACCAGUGACGAUGGUUCCUCCGACGGCAUCGGGUUCAUCGGCUCCUAUUCCCGAUGUACUUGAGGUCGAGCAGGAGCGCACGUUGGCGGCGCUGACGACAUUCAAGCGAUUCAACCCUCCGACCUUCAGCGGUGAUGUGAAGGACCCAUGGACGACGGAGAGUUGGCUAGUCGCGAUGGAGGCCUUGUUCGAGGAUAUCUACACCCUCGAGAAAGAUAAGGUUCACCUUGCGGCUCAUUGUUUUGAUGGGUCGGCUCGGCUGUGGUGGACCCAGGCAAAGAGAAAUCGCUCGCUAGAGCACGCUUUUAUUACUUGGGAGGCAUUUUGGGAGAUGCUGCUUAUGGAGUAUUUCCCCGAGAGCGACAAAAGGAAAAUCAAGGAGGAUUUUCGAAAGCUAAGGCAGGGAAGCCGAUCAGUGUGGGAGUACUAGAGAGAAUUCACGCACAUGAUUAACUGCGUGCCUGACUUGGUUCACGGUGAUAGGGACCGAGCGAAAAUAUUCGAGCACGGGUUGCGACCCGAGAUUUUCAAGGUCAUACAUGCCUUCCGGUUGAAGACCUACGAGGAAGUGCUCGAUCGCGCGCUUUGGGUGGAGCGCGGGAAUGCCAUCGUGCGUGAUAUGCGCGAGACUUUUGAGAGGGACAGGGAAAGAGAUAAGACCAAGAAGCGACCGGCUGGUGGAUCUGUGGGGCAAUCGAGUUCUAAGCGACCCCCGCGACCUCCGCGAUCACAGUGGCGGGGAGGUAGGAGUCAGACCCAGAGCCGUAUCACCUAUCCAUGUGUGAUCUGCGGUGCAGACCACCGGGUUACCACUUGCCCACAGCGAGAGUGGCGGUGUUUUCGGUGUGGCCAGGCGGGCCACAUAGGUCGAGAGUGCCCAGGCGGUGCGUCCCCAGCCUCGUCAUCAGCUUCAGUUCAGUAUACUCAGCGACAGCUGGCGGGACUUCCACCCGCGACAUCUGCUGGACGGUCGUCGGCGCCUCGUCUGCUGGAGGCCUCUCGAGCACAUAGUGGGCGGGUAUUUGCCACUCAGGUGGAGGAGCCACCAAUCAUUGUUCCUGACGACGUCGUGGCAGGUAUUAUUCUGAUCAGAGGCAGUAGAGCUAGAGCUAUAUUUGAUACGGGUGCAUCUCAUUCAUUCAUAUUAGCAUCAUUUGCACAAGCUCAUAAGAUAGAGAUCACUCAUAGCGAAGAGUAUUUAUCGGUGAACACUCCCGAGCAUUCAUUCGAUGUUCACGAUGAGUGCUUGGACUGCCUAGUACAGAUAGGUGAUUGGAUUAUGCCGAUUGACCUUCUAGUGUUAAAAGAAAUGUGGGGUUUAGAGGUAAUCUUGGGGAUCAACUGGCUCUCCAAGUAUUACGCGGUUAUAGAUUGCGAAAGAAGGGUGAUCACGCUCCGUAAACCUAACCAAGAGGAGUUUGUGUAUCGGGCGUACAAAGGUAAAUGCUUUGCAGCAACCAUAUCGACGGUGAGGGAAAGAGAAUGAUCAAGGGUGGUUGCAAGGCUUAUUUGGCGACCAUCGUAGACCCUCAAAGGGAAUACCCGGAACUGGAAAGUAUUCGAGUGGUGCGUGUGUCACGCCCCGAGCCCGCCUCUUUGGUCGGAUUCGGGCACGCCAACAGACCGCCGAACGGACAGGGUUUCCCCUGCACGCGGACAGAGUAUCCCCUGUACGUUCAAGGCGUCGCAAUCAAUACAAGUACAAGAGGUUCCAAACAGGAACAAUUUUUCAACAACGAUUGCAUGAGGAAGGUAUCAAACAACAUAACACAUCCUAUGUUAUUACAAUCAUUCAUCUCAUCAUUUUACAUCACAUUUUUCAUUACAUUGAUCCUCAACUUCCAAAUAUACAAUCGAUUCUUUUCUUUUCUUUUCUUAUACCCCUAAGAAGCCAACUCAGGGUGCUGCUAUCUGGUCUCUGUGGUAGGGCGCUAACUAUGGAGCUACGCCCUUUCCUCGCGCCGCCGCGCCACUCGCGUGUGAACCUGUACCCCCAAAAACAACAACACGGGGGUGAGACUAUUGUCCAUAGUCGUCAGUGGGUACAGCCACCCAAGUGAAAAGCUCAACCCACCAGGUCCAAAGGAGGCACUGCAACACGUUAGUCCAACAGAUAUAUACAUAUAACAUCAUGCAAUACAUGUUCAUGCCUCACAAAUAUGCAAAUUAUGCAACUCUUAGUCAUUCUUUACCAUUAGCCUUUCUUUAGAAUAUGCAAUUCUUUAUCAUUAGCCAUUCUUUAUUCUUUAUUCUUUAUUCUUUAUUCUUUAUUCUUUGCUAAGGGCACUCGCACCUUAGGCGCAUUAUACACAUUUGCCAUUCUUUAUAACAUUAACAAACGUUUCUCAAUUGUCAUUCUUUCUCAA